GAGGGGAGGUUUAACCAACGGGAACUGCUAACUCUCGCAUCUGAGCAUAAAACCUCAGUCCCCUUG
rnacentral:tRNA from 1 species